rnacentral:rRNA from 1 species
GAGAAUGCCGGUGUGAGUAGCGAAAGACGGGUGAGAAUCCCGUCCACCGAUUGACUAAGGUUUCCAGAGGAAGGCUCGUCCGCUCUGGGUUAGUCGGGUCCUAAGCUGAGGCCGACAGGCGUAGGCGAUGGAUAACAGGUUGAUAUUCCUGUACCACCUAUAAUCGUUUUAAUCGAUGGGGGGACGCAGUAGGAUAGGCGAAGCGUGCGAUUGGAUUGCACGUCUAAGCAGUAAGGCUGAGUAUUAGGCAAAUCCGGUACUCGUUAAGGCUGAGCUGUGAUGGGGAGAAGACAUUGUGUCUUCGAGUCGUUGAUUUCACACUGCCGAGAAAAGCCUCUAGAUAGAAAAUAGGUGCCCGUACCGCAAACCGACACAGGUAGUCAAGAUGAGAAUUCUAAGGUGAGCGAGCGAACUCUCGUUAAGGAACUCGGCAAAAUGACCCCGUAACUUCGGGAGAAGGGGUGCUCUUUAGGGUUAACGCCCAGAAGAGCCGCAGUGAAUAGGCCCAAGCGACUGUUUAUCAAAAACACAGGUCUCUGCUAAACCGUAAGGUGAUGUAUAGGGGCUGACGCCUGCCCGGUGCUGGAAGGUUAAGAGGAGUGGUUAGCUUCUGCGAAGCUACGAAUCGAAGCCCCAGUAAACGGCGGCCGUAACUAUAACGGUCCUAAGGUAGCGAAAUUCCUUGUCGGGUAAGUUCCGACCCGCACGAAAGGCGUAACGAUUUGGGCACUGUCUCAACGAGAGACUCGGUGAAAUCAUAGUACCUGUGAAGAUGCAGGUUACCCGCGACAGGACGGAAAGACCCCGUGGAGCUUUACUGUAGCCUGAUAUUGAAAUUCGGCACAGCUUGUACAGGAUAGGUAGGAGCCUUUGAAACGUGAGCGCUAGCUUACGUGGAGGCGCUGGUGGGAUACUACCCUAGCUGUGUUGGCUUUCUAACCCGCACCACUUAUCGUGGUGGGAGACAGUGUCAGGCGGGCAGUUUGACUGGGGCGGUCGCCUCCUAAAAGGUAACGGAGGCGCUCAAAGGUUCCCUCAGAAUGGUUGGAAAUCAUUCAUAGAGUGUAAAGGCAUAAGGGAGCUUGACUGCGAGACCUACAAGUCGAGCAGGGUCGAAAGACGGACUUAGUGAUCCGGUGGUUCCGCAUGGAAGGGCCAUCGCUCAACGGAUAAAAGCUACCCCGGGGAUAACAGGCUUAUCUCCCCCAAGAGUUCACAUCGACGGGGAGGUUUGGCACCUCGAUGUCGGCUCAUCGCAUCCUGGGGCUGUAGUCGGUCCCAAGGGUUGGGCUGUUCGCCCAUUAAAGCGGUACGCGAGCUGGGUUCAGAACGUCGUGAGACAGUUCGGUCCCUAUCCGUCGUGGGCGUAGGAAAUUUGAGAGGAGCUGUCCUUAGUACGAGAGGACCGGGAUGGACAUACCUCUGGUGUACCAGUUGUCGUGCCAACGGCAUAGCUGGGUAGCUAUGUGUGGACGGGAUAAGUG